UGGGGAAUCUUGGACAAUGGGGGCAACCCUGAUCCAGCCAUGCCGCGUGAGUGAUGAAGGCCUUAGGGUCGUAAAGCUCUUUCGCCUGUGAAGAUAAUGACGGUAGCAGGUAAAGAAACCCCGCUAACUCCGUGCCAGCAGCCGCGGUAAUACGGAGGGGGUUAGCGUUGUUCGGAAUUACUGGGCGUAAAGCGCACGUAGGCGGACCAGAAAGUUGGGGGUGAAAUCCCGGGGGCUCAACCCCCGGAACUGCCUCCAAAACUAUUGGUCUAGAGUUCGAGAGAGGUGAGUGGAAUUCCAAGUGUAGAGGUGAAAUUCGUAGAUAUUUGGAGGAACACCAGUGGCGAAGGCGGCUCACUGGCUCGAUACUGACGCUGAGGUGCGAAAGUGUGGGGAGCAAACAGGAUUAGAUACCCUGGUAGUCCACACCGUAAAACGAUGAAUGCCAGUCGUCGGGUAGCAUGCUAUUCGGUGACACACCUAACGGAUUAAGCAUUCCGCCUGGGGAGUACGGUCGCAAGAUU
rnacentral:rRNA from 1 species